CAAAGAAAACCAGUGAAUAUAUUAUCAUUCCAAAACAGUCCAUCCUUCCAUUCCCUCAGGACUCUCGUGAAAAAGUUGUUCUUGGGUUGGGACAAAUAAUCGAUUAUGUAAUAAGCAUAAUGGAUUAUGGGUGAGUUUGGUUAAGUUUUUUUAUAGAAAAACUUAUAUUAUAAAAUUUUAGAUGUUUGUAUAAAGUUAUUUAAAAAGGGAGAAGCUGAAAAUAAGGUAAAAACAGUUUAUUUUGAUAAGCUAGUUGGAAAAACACAGAGGUGGAUUACUGAAAAUUUUGGAUGGGACAACCCCUCCUUUUAAGAGGCGAAGCUUUAGUUUACAGAUGUGUAUGGUGCUCAUCCUCAUCCUCGCCCUCCUGCGACUGCCUCUGGCUGCGGCGACGCUGAGAAAAUUUGAUUUCAAAUUCAUCCUCGUCCUCGUUGUCGCAGAGCAUUGAAAGCCCUCAUUUUGUUCUUCAGGGGAGGUUUAUGUUGUAUCAAGUGAUGUAUCAUUAAAGACUCAAAGCAAAGAUGAGGAUGACUUCUUUAAGCAGAAGAGAGUGACAAUCUAGAUUGCUUCCAGUAUGUCAUUUUUGGAACUAAUAAUUUGCAAGUGUUCAAUGAACGGAAACAAGUAGUUGGGAGUGUUGCACGUAUAUACUUCAAAUGCUUGCUCAAAGAUAGCAAAUCUCAAUGCCAAUUUUUUGCAAAUAGUCAAGUAAAUUUUACCAAAAGAGCUGGGAACAUAAUAGCGGAUUAGCUAAGCAUGCUUUUAUUUCCAAAGAAAUGUAUUGGGUGAAAGAUUAUCCCAUCAAAUUGAAUCGAAUUUUCUAUUCUUUUGGACGUACAAUGUAUUGGAUGCUUAUAAGGUCUUUUAUGUAAAUUUGUGGUGAAAAAAAAUCACUUAUACAA